rnacentral:piRNA from 1 species
UGCAGCCAUGCCGGUGAAUAGCUUCCCCUUUU